rnacentral:rRNA from 1 species
GUAACCUGCCCAGAAGUAGGGGAUAACACCUGGAAACAGAUGCUAAUACCGUAUAACAGAGAAAACCGCAUGGUUUUCUUUUAAAAGAUGGCUCUGCUAUCACUUCUGGAUGGACCCGCGGCGUAUUAGCUAGUUGGUGAGGUAAAGGCUCACCAAGGCAGUGAUACGUAGCCGACCUGAGAGGGUAAUCGGCCACAUUGGGACUGAGACACGGCCCAGACUCCUACGGGAGGCAGCAGUAGGGAAUCUUCCACAAUGGACGCAAGUCUGAUGGAGCAACGCCGCGUGAGUGAAGAAGGGUUUCGGCUCGUAAAGCUCUGUUGUUAAAGAAGAACGUGGGUAAGAGUAACUGUUUACCCAGUGACGGUAUUUAACCAGAAAGCCACGGCUAACUACGUGCCAGCAGCCGCGGUAAUACGUAGGUGGCAAGCGUUAUCCGGAUUUAUUGGGCGUAAAGCGAGCGCAGGCGGUCUUUUAAGUCUAAUGUGAAAGCCUUCGGCUCAACCGAAGAAGUGCAUUGGAAACUGGGAGACUUGAGUGCAGAAGAGGACAGUGGAACUCCAUGUGUAGCGGUGAAAUGCGUAGAUAUAUGGAAGAACACCAGUGGCGAAAGCGGCUGUCUGGUCUGCAACUGACGCUGAGGCUCGAAAGCAUGGGUAGCGAACAGGAUUAGAUACCCUGGUAGUCCAUGCCGUAAACGAUGAUUACUAAGUGUUGAGGGUUUC